GCUUGCUUCUCUUGAGAGCGGCGGACGGGUGAGUAAUGCCUAGGAAUCUGCCUGGUAGUGGGGGAUAACGUUCGGAAACGGACGCUAAUACCGCAUACGUCCUACGGGAGAAAGCAGGGGACCUUCGGGCCUUGCGCUAUCAGAUGAGCCUAGGUCGGAUUAGCUAGUUGGUGAGGUAAUGGCUCACCAAGGCGACGAUCCGUAACUGGUCUGAGAGGAUGAUCAGUCACACUGGAACUGAGACACGGUCCAGAC
rnacentral:rRNA from 1 species